ACUUCUUCCCGCUGUCCCGGAGCUUUCCCUCCUCUGCCCUCUACUCCCGUCCCCUCCCGCCGCCCCUUGAGGAGACCGGAGACCCUUACUGAGGGUCGUUCCUCUUUGCACUUGUCGAGCAGUCAUUCUCGGUUCCCUCCUCCCCCUUCUUCCCCCAGGCACGCGCGCGCGCACACACACACGCACACACAUGCAUACAGGGCGUACCCAAAGCUAGUUGACUGUACCGCCCAGACAUUGCUUAUUAACCACCUUUCUCCACUCCCUCCUCAGGGCUGUAGAGUCUGUGUCGGGCCCCACGACUUUUUGCCUGGAGCUGCGUGGUAGCCUCCUGGUUGGGUUCUCUCUGCUUCCACGCUUGCCUUUGUCCACACCGUCUCCCAGAUGGCAACCAGAGGGAUUUAUCUAAGAUGUACAGGGUGAUGCUUUACAUCAGGAUUUCCCAAAUUGGCCUGAAGGGAAGAAUCACCUGGAGCCCUUGUUUGAAACAUUCCCAGAACCUCCCCAAACCUACCAAAUAGAAAUUCCCAGGGGUAACCUCACUAAAAUGGAGUCAGGGGGUUUGGCAGGGGCGGCUCUCGACACCGGACACUCUUGGUCUAUGACGGAACCAGCACGAAGAGAAGGAACUUGCAGGUGGGACUUUACUAGCCCAGGGGGAAGAAGGAAUGCUUCCUCCUCCGCAGCGACAGCCCAGCCAAUGAGAAGCCACUACACUUCCAACUCCCAGUUUACUCCAAUGGGCUUCUUGUUUACAAC